UAAGAAAAUGAAGGAUUAGUAAUUGUUAAUGUUAAACCUCACUUCUGACUCUCUUUUCCAUUUCAUUUUAGGUAAGAAUAAUUGCAGAUCUUCCCUUGUAAAUGUGACUGUUAUCUACAGUGGUUGCAAGAAAAGAGUUCAGAUGGCAAAAUGCACAGGGGAAUGUGAAAAGACUGCCAAGUACAAUUAUGAUAUCUUACUCUUGGAACAUUCAUGCCUUUGCUGCCGAGAAGAAAACUAUGAACUCAGAGACAUUGUACUUGACUGUCCUGAUGGCAGUACAAUCCCUUACCAAUACAGGCAUAUCACGACCUGCUCUUGUUUAGACAUAUGCCAACCAUAUACGACCUUCAUGUACAGUUAAUGCUGACAUCACCUUCCCAGUUUUAAUAGGCCUGGUAUUUAUGUUAUAAGUGAGGAAAAAUAAUCAUUUAAAUAGUGAGAAUAACUAAACAAUGUGAGAAUAACUCAAAACAAUGAGUUCUCAUUAUGAGGAAUUUUGUUCUCUUGUUGACUGGAUCUGAAAAAUAAACACAACUUGACAAGCAA
rnacentral:sRNA from 1 species